UCGUAAAACUCUGUUGUUAGAGAAGAACAAGGACGUUAGUAACUGAACGUCCCCUGACGGUAUCUAACCAGAAAGCCACGGCUAACUACGUGCCAGCAGCCGCGGUAAUACGUAGGUGGCAAGCGUUGUCCGGAUUUAUUGGGCGUAAAGCGAGCGCAGGCGGUUUCUUAAGUCUGAUGUGAAAGCCCCCGGCUCAACCGGGGAGGGUCAUUGGAAACUGGGAGACUUGAGUGCAGAAGAGGAGAGUGGAAUUCCAUGUGUAGCGGUGAAAUGCGUAGAUAUAUGGAGGAACACCAGUGGCGAAGGCGGCUCUCUGGUCUGUAACUGACGCUGAGGCUCGAAAGCGUGGGGAGCAAACAGGAUUAGAUACCCCUGUAGUC
rnacentral:rRNA from 1 species